rnacentral:piRNA from 2 species
UGACAUCUGUCCCAGAGUUGGCU